UUGUAAAUUUAAAUUCUUUGAAACAACGUCGAUAAGAGGUUCACCUACCUCUGUUAAACUGUAUGAUGGUGCAUUGUAAAAAAUUAGGUAGUCUGACUUAAGUGAGAUUGUAUUUAGAUUGUGUGUGAUGCAUAUGCAAUAUCUAAGCAUAUGUAUUUAUGUUAUUAUCCUUUUAAAACGUUACAUGAUGAAUUUCGUAUACUUUUUAAUGUCAACUAACAUUAUUUAUCACGGACUAUUACAUCCAGAUAAAGAAUAAUUACCACAUGUUUGAAGAUUAAUUGUAUUCCGAUACGUUUAAAGCAUAGGCGUGCGCAGGACUUCAGUAUUGGUGGUGCCAGAUUACACAACAGCCCUGUCAUUCACGGAUCCCGAGCCUAAAGCGGGGGGCCGGGGGUCUUCCCCCGGAAAUUUUUUUGAUUUGAAAGUGCAAAAUGGUGGUAUUUAAGGUUUUUCCGAACAAAAACAUUAAAUACACAGAUGUAAAAAUUUUAACAUUUUUUAUGACAAAUUAUGGCUUUGAACGUUAUAAUCACCAGGAAAACUACUAAACUAUUUACAGUUUUAAGCUUUGUUGAGCCAUAAAGUAAAUUGCACAAAUUGUUUGCAGGAAUUAAUGAUCGUGGCUUUGAAAAACUAUACUUAUAUGUUUUCUGAAGACGCCAAAUAAAUGCUAGAUAAAACAUUCUCAAAUGUUAAGUUUUAAAAUCAACAAAUGAAGGGAGUUUUUAUAACAUACCUAAAAUAUGUAAAAUAUUAAAAUAAUAAAAAUACACAAAUAAGAGUGGGCAAAAGUUUUAACUUUUGGAAUACAACAAAAAUGUUUUAUCGGCGACUGCAUAUAAGUCAUCGAGUAAGCCUAUCCUUUUAACUAUCUAAACUCUCUCUUUUAUUUUUUUAAUAAUCCCUGGCGGACGGCGGCUAUUAUUCCGUGCGUCUGCCGAGUGGAGUGAACAGUGGACACCGAGCGCGCAUUCUAUGUAAUUCGAGGAGAACUAUGAGAAGUAUUUACAUUUCAGAAGUUUCGUAGCCGCGGCCCGUGUGUACAACACAAGUAAUUGCAACUGGCUUGUUUCCGUGUGUAUAGUUGGUUCGAUUGAUAAUUGAGAUACUGAUAGUGUUAUGAGCACGUAUCUGUAACUCGACACGAUUGGAAAAGAUAUUAUUUUUGGAAAUAAUACGGAUUUUUGUAAGUAUGUAUUAUUUCUGCUUGUAAAAAACAAAAUAACGUUAACCCUAAUGGUGGUGCCAAGGCACCUGUGGCACCUACCGUGCGCACGCCUAUGGUUUAAAGUAUUAAAAUUUUUAGAUUCGACUCAUACCAUAGUUGUAUAAGUGAGGUUUCUUGAUUCUGAAUCCCUGCAUCCGCAAUUUCCUAGUGAGCCGCCGGUCAGAUUGUCAUCCUCUCAGAUUGUCGAGGAACCAGAUACAUUUUUCGUCGAGUAAACUCGAGCUGUCAACCUUCCCACUAAUCCUGUGAUAAGGGUAUAGUAGCUUUAUCACGCGCUGCGGCUACAGUUCCUUCGGUUGAAAAAGCCACUAAAUCUCACUGUUAAAAGAGAGAACUUCUAGAGCAGAAUAUUGGAAAUAAACAUUUACUGACACGGCCUCUUAAGUAAGUUGAUAAUGUUGAUAUUGUUCUGCUUUAGGUAGUGGGGGGGGGGGGGGUGGCAGGGUUCAAAAGGAUAUUAAUUGAUAAGUCUCUCUUUAUUUACUAUUUUAAAUUUAUAUUGAUUUCUGUUUGCAAAAUGAAAACUUUUAAUUCACUAAAUGCAGAUGCCUCUUAUCCUUAGUACCCCAACACUCUGCACCCACUACUCACUCACAUGUACCACAUCACUAACCUGUCUCGCUGGUGUCACCUCAGGUCGCCACACAGUUAUUCAUCGCCGGAGAACUCACCUGCUCAGUGUUAUAGCCAACUACAACUCACUGGUAUCACUAGCAACAACUCUAACUCUGGUGUUGUUCUGAGGACUCGCUGGCAUCAGAAUCUCUACUCUAUCCUGGUUGGCUGGUUCUUUAAGUACUUUCUGUCUGGGAAGUUUCUUGCCGCCCUCCAAUUGUGUUGUGCAACCAGAUCACCGUUCCGACUCGGAAGGCCACUAGUAGGAGUUGAGAUACAACCGAAGAAGCGUCCAGACAUUGUGAUGCCUGGCGGAAAAAGAGUAGCAGCCAGAUGACUUGUUUCCCACAUUCCAGGCCAGGCUCCUUACACAGAUGGUGGGGAAGGCGUAUCCAGGCAGACUGCCUGUCUCGUAACGAUCUUCAGUAACAUAUGUAUUUUUGAAGUGAAACUUCUUUGCUGAGGGGGCUACAAUUGUAGUGUGUUAUGAGAAUUCUGAUCACAUGAGAGGAUAAGUUAGGUACAUGGUGGGGGAACGGGUUUAGGAGGAGAUGGCAGGGGAGAGGUAGAAAUGAUGCAGCAUACUUUCACACUUGCAUCCUUGCACAUUUGCAUGCUUGCAUGUUUGCACACUUGCAUCAUUGCACACUUGCAUCAUUGCACACUUGCAUCAUUGCACAAUAGCAUAAUUUAGCGCUCACAUUCUUGCUUGCAUAUUUUUUUUUUGGAUCUGUGACUUUAGCCAAAGUGAAUUAUGUUUCCUGUACCUAAUAAUAUAAUAAGCAAGAAGUUUCACGUGUCGUGUGGAGACUCCCCGCACAUAUUUUUUUGUAUAAGGUUUUCAAGAAUUUAAGUUAUGAGAUAGAUCAGAGUAUUCCAACUGUGCUCCCUGAUUGAUUCCCAGGUGCUCCAUCAUCGUCAGCAUAGUAUGGAUAGUUGGCCGGUAGUUUUCGUAAACAGUCUAGAAAGAGUGAAUAUAAAGGACAUGGGCGCGACACACUGUCGCCAGCAGAUCAUUUGUCACACCUCAAGAUAGUGCGUCGUUGGAAAAUCCCAGCACAUGAACGUGUAAUUGUGCACCAAGAAACUGGAACUUUCGCUGGGCGCAGUCUCGCCAGCCAAUCAGGGCGAACCAUGAGGUGGCGUGAUGUGUAUCCCCAGGCCAGUAUUUUUCAGGAAAUAAUGUGAUUGGUCAGUCGGUCCACGGGGUUGCCUCCCUUUGUUUCGUCUUAUAAAGGGACGGUAACUGUGUGGUGAGUCUACAGUAGCAGUCGUGAAGUAGCAGUCGUUCAGUAGUCGUCUACAGUCGGGCAGUAGUGGUGGUUGUUGUCCGGUCGGCCCAAGGUGCGGCCGCACCGGCGGCAUUUUGUAAGAAAAAAUGUAACUUGUAACAAGAAAUUAAAAAUAUAUAUAUUUAUAUAUAAACGAAUCUUUAAUAGUGUUUUCAAUUGUAUUUGUUAUUAUUCCGGGUUGCCGAGCCAGACGAACUCUGGAAUGUAACACAGGUUGGAUGUAUUAGCUCUUUGAGCUCAGGGGCUAAAUAGUUUGGUGGUUUUUUUUUUGUCGACAUCACACGUAUAAGAAACCUUAGGUAGGGAAACUGUGGAAGGAAUCAUUCAGAGCCUGUUGUAAUCAAAAAUCCCGGCACAAUCCGGAAGUGAUUUCAGGAAAUCAUUGUAAUUCAAAAUUAGGAAGUCUGGUCUGAGAUUUGAGCUCGGUUAGUGCCUAAGAGCUAUGAUGAAUAAUGGAUCCGACAUCACAGUUAUGACUUUUGCUUUUACUCAAAGAAUGUACUUACAUGCAGGUUUUGUUUUUUCAGCAGUGUGCCUGUAUGGAAUUGUGUGUUUACAGUUUUAUUUAUGUUGUAAUAAUAAUUAUAUUAGUGUUCUUUAACUAACAAUAGUCCUUCAAUAUUAUGUUUGUAAAAUCAACAAUUUGUGCAAUUUUGCUGUUAAAAAUAAUUAUUAAAACAAAACAAUUGUAACUGUUUAAAAUCAUACACUGCUUAUCAAUAUUUAAGAUUUUUUAAGGUACACAGUCAUCAAGAAUUACUGCGCAUUCUAAACUGUUAUUAUAAAAUAACUCUUUGUGCAUUUGUUGGUUAGUCGCAAACUAUGCUACCACAUAUUUACUAAAUGUUGUUUUCAAGCGUGUGUGUGCCCUCACACACACACAUGUACACAUGAGAGAAAGAGACAAAGAGACAUACAGAUAAAGAAACAUUGAAGCAGAGAAAAACAGAGUGAGAGACAGACAGACACACGAAGGGACACAGGGAGGUAACAUGAAACAGCCUUGUAAAAUAUAUGAAGUAAUCUUAAUACUACAUAGGCUUACUUAAUAAUAUUAACUUGUUUGAAAGGAACACAAUAAACUGAUAUUCAAUUUUCUUUUAUCACUAUUAGUGCUUAAUGCUGUGCCCCCUUAUCUCUUUCAGAGCAAGAGAACACAAUCUUUUAACACCCUGCUGGUUUUACAAACAAAUAUUUUAAAAAAAUAGCAAUCACCAAAAAGGCUUUCUAUCAACUUACCAACUCUAGGUGUUGAGAAAAAAUUCAAUUAAACACAGUUUCCAAAUAAAUUAUAUUUUGACUUGGGGCUCUUUAUGAAAUCAACGACCUCAGUUAUUUGUAUUCAGAAUUAUUUUAUUACCCACAGAAAAUGUUCAUAAAAGUACAAAAGCAUUAAAGAGCCGGUGAACUAAGUUAACAAUCACCUAUAAUACUCAGGUAUGUAACACUAUUAAAAAAUAUUAGCUAAAAUCAAUAUAAAAUAUAUAGGGAAAAAUAAGUUACUUAAAACUACUUCUUGGUUAUGUAUACUGAUUAUUUGAUAAAUCUUUUUACCUGUGCCUUAACUGGCACCAAUGAAUAAAACGGUGCAUAUUUAAAAAAAAAAAACAAUUUCAAAUUACUUAGCUUUCCAGCAAUAUUAAAUUACAAUUAAAGUCAACAACCAAGUAUAUUAUUAAUCUUAACAAAUAUGUAUUGUAAAUGUUUGUUAGCUGGAAAGUCAGGCAAAAAAAAUCUAAGGACUUCAAAUUUGUUUCUCCACACAACUUUGCAUUGCUUUCUAGUCCAGUUCUUUGAUACAAAACCAUUUGAUCGCUCAUGAGUUAAAAAUUGAAGUUUCCAAAGUAAGACUACUGUAGCUAGUCUAGCCAUACUGAAAUCUGCUAAAACAUGCGAAUCACCAAUCCACGACAAUGUCGUCAACGUCUUAUAUCAGCCAUGCCCAAUUCUUGAUGGAUAAGUAUCAAAAAAAGUACUUACAGGAAGUAGCUUGGCUUCUGGGUUGUAGCCGUGUCCUUAGCGAAUAAUUCACUGAUGUUUCAGUCAACAUUAUCAGGGAGCAGUUACCUACUGAAAGUCGUGAAAACCUGUGAACAUUAUUAAAAGUACUUACAGGUUCGCUGCCACACUGGUACUGCGUAAACCUUGUAACACUUUGGCUCGUCAAUAUACAUGAUGAUAUUGUUCCAAUUUAAUUAUUGGUAAAUAAAAUGUUGUGCACUGCAAAGCCAAGCUAUUAGUAUUUGUUGAACACAGGAAACAGUGCGCGCCGUGGACGCACGUCAAGCGUGCUUCCAGAAGAAUGCAGUCGCCCACUCUAGUCUCUUUUUCACGCAACAUUUUUCUUCAGCAACACAAUGUGUCGUACUUGCACACACAAAUCUAAUAUUGCCAACUGUCUGUCUAGCCUCGUAACUAACUAUUUGCGACUCCCUGUGCGACUUCUAUUUAUUAUCAUUUUUACUUGCAUUAAAGUCUUGUUACCUCUUCCUUCUUUUACCAACUCUGUUUAACAUCAGGUCCGCAACAAAUAACAAUACCUCGGAAUCUGAAAUAAACUAAGACCAAAUAAAUUAACCAAAAACAAUAUUAAAAUUAUAAAAAUCUGAACCAAAAUUAGUUAACCGAAAAAAUAGUUAUUUACAUUGAUGCAAAAACAAGUGUAAACAGACAUAGGCGGAUUAAAUUAGUUACAUCUAAAAAAAAAGGCAAAGGUGAGGCAGAAAAUUCACAAAAUUUAAAGAAUUUUUAUUCCUAAGUUAAACAAUUCUCUCAAAUAAAUUUUAACUGUGUUAUAAAGAUGACAAUUAUUUAGCUAUCCUUACUUGUUCAAAAAAUUCAUGAAAAUGAGACUUUGACAUGGUAUUAUGCAAAAUCUUUACAAGAUUUUUUCUACAAAAGUUAAGUUACCUAAAGAGGAUACAAGUUUGGCAGUGUUUCAUGUAAAUUUACACAAUGUGACAUAUAUAACUUCUAGUAUGUAAUUUUGUCAAACCUCUGCUAGUCCACCAACUCAGAUAUGUAAGGUGAAUAAGUCCAUCACUCUCUCGCUGGAGUGGCAAACAUUAAAAUAAAAAUUUAUAAAUGACUUUACUAAAUACUUUGUGCCUGAGAACGAUGCAAAAAGGAAAACAUUAGCGUAGGCAGGGCAAUUUGCAUGAAAUUUGACUGUUGACUUUAUAAAAAAUAAACAUGAUUUUUAUAAAGUUACUAACAUAUUUAGUAAUAAAACAUGCAAUUACAAGUAACACCAAAAACCAUUAACAAGAAGUAAAGUGGUAACCUGAUUAAAUUGUCUCACAGAAAAUAUUUAAUAAGUAAUCCAAAAUGUUUUUUUGCUUAAAAUAUACACAAAAUUUAUUUCAUUCUAUUUAACUAAAAACUAAGGCAGCCAGAAAACAUUCUUUUACCUUUGCAACAUAAAUAUGGGUACACAAAAUAUAUAAAUAUUAACAAUAAUAAAAUAAAGUUUUCUAUAAGUUUUUAAUUUCACCAAAAAUUAUUAAAACAAGGUCCUUAAAAAAUUAUCAGUCCAUUGUCACUUGAUAAUCCUACGAUCAAGGCACAGCAAUUAAAUUGAAACAAUAUAUAAUCAUCAUUACAAAAUGCAGUUUGUUUCCAUGUCUCAAACUUAAGGGCGCCGUCUGGCUAGAGAGUAAACGCGUGACCGCGUACAUAGCAUGUCGUUCUUGCUCGGAGCUGAGUGGCGACAUUCGGAACUACUCUUAUCUCCUCCUCACUGCCCCACCCCACUAGUACCCACCCUCCUCCCCAAGCCGACACUGCUGGCCAGAUAAGAGCUGCCCUGCUGCCUCGCCAUGUGUCUGAAUCACUCUGAGUCCUUUAGUUUACCGUAGCCGGCGUGCCAAUUGCAUGUAUUUUUAGUGUAGCGAUAUAGAAAAAUACUUAUUUUAGUGGUUGAUAGUAACAUGUUAACACUAAGUUAUUGUGUAUAUGUCACAUGGACAAAUGUGACUGCAUACGUAAAAAAUAAUUCUCUCUGAAUUACUGACUUAGAAAUACAUGUCUGGACACUACUUUACAAUGAUGGUUGAUUACAAUGUGAUGUUUUCCCGGUUAUUCGCAAAACUACUUCAAAACCUCUAUGGUGCCACCAGCACAGUCACGCUGUGAAUGAGCAUUUUAAUUUACAUAUAUUUAAUUCCAAAAAUGUUUAACUUUUGAUUUUUUCUUAAUUUUUAUCUAUAUAUUUUUUAAAUUUUGAUCGGUUACUAAAUUAACAGCAUUUCUGCACCAAGGGCGCGGGCAGUUUUAUUCAGUCUCAAGGGUGUCAUAAAUACGUAGGCAAACGCAAAUUUCCAGACUAAAAUCAGUAGUAGCGAUAUUUUAAAUACAAAUAAUUUAAAAGGCACACAUUUUUACUAACGGCUGUUACAUUUUGAGUUUUGAUGAUGGAAUUUUUUUUUAAGUUUAAGAAUGUUUGGUAUGAAAUAAAAAGUAGAUAAGUUUUAAAAAAGUUUGAUAACAAAUGAAAAGAAUCUAAAUCAUCAAAGAAAAAUAUUUAUUCAAUAAUAUUAAAUCUUCAAGUAACAAAAUAAAAA